rnacentral:rRNA from 1 species
CUACGGGUGGCACCAGUGGGGAAUAUUGGACAAUGGGGGAAACCCUGAUCCAGCAAUGCCGCGUGUGUGAAGAAGGCCUGCGGGUUGUAAAGCACUUUCGGUUGGGAGGACUGCUUCUAGCACUAAUAUUGUUGGAAGUUGACGUUACCUUCAGAAGAAGCACCGGCUAACUCCGUGCCAGCAGCCGCGGUACUACGGAGGGUGCAAGCGUUAAUCGGAAUUACUGGGCGUAACGCGCGCGUAGGCGGCUAGAUCAGUCGGGUGUGAAAGCCCCGGGCUUAACCUGGGAACGGCAUCCGAUACUGUCUAGCUUGAGUACAGGAGAGGAGAGUGGAAUUCCACAUGUAGCGGUGAAAUGCGUAGAUAUGUGGAGGAACACCAAGGGCGAAGGCAGCUCUCUGGCCUGAUACUGACGCUGAGGUGCGAAAGCGUGGGGAGCAAACAGGAUUAGAUACCCUCGUAGUC